CCAACAUGGCAAGGUACUCCCUGUCCCGGUGACCAGCAAAGGCGGACAGGCCGCCAACCAGCCAGGAUGUUCUAUUACAGGAAAACAUUACUGCUGUCAUUCCCAAUGCUGGUUGUCCCUGGAAGCCCCUUCACAAAAGUGUCUGAGAGAAUCAGGAAGCCUCUAGCCAUGUCUUCAGAAGUGCCAUCUUCCAGGAAGGGGUGAUGCUGAAGAUCAAGCCCCAAGAAGAAGGUUGGACAUUAAGAAGACCUUCAAAUAAAUGUAUGCUGCCUAGUUUAAAAAGGAGUAUAAUAUCAAAACAUGACCAAACCCAAGGACACAUCACAGGUGAUGGAACACAACUAAAGAGAUCGACACAGUAGUGAUCUUUUCUACCCUAACGUAUCUUCAAUCUAUGCAUGAAAAUAAUAGAAACAUAAAAAAUAAGGGCACAGCUUGCCCCCACCCCAACCUCUAACUCCUCAAAAACUGAUCUCAUAGACACAAAAGUAAAGGAGGAUAUAGGCAAAAAACCUCAAAAACCAAAUGGUUAGACUGUUUGAAGAAAUAAAAGAAAAAAAAUAUAUAAGCAAAUAUAUAGAUGUUUAAGGAACUCAAGGAGAAUUUAAUUAAAUAGAUGAAGAAUUUGACCAGUAAAAUAUUCAACAAUCUUAAAGAAGAAAUAAAGAGCAGUAACGUGAUUGAGUUAAGCAAAACAACCCAAGACACAAAUGACCAUUUCAAAAAAUAUCUAGAAAGUAUGAAAAGCUGAGCUAGAGAAUUGGAAAUUUUUACUGGAAAGCAUGGGUAGCAAACUUCAAUGUGAGAACAGGAUGUCAGAAACAGAGAAAGGGUAGAUAUGGAGCAUCAAGAUUCAAUGAUACCCUAAAAAUGAGAAGACACCAUGCAAGCUGGGCUCAUCAGCUACUUGGUGACUCAAAAAUAACGAAAUCAGGGGCCUGGGGAGAUGGCUCAGUAGAAUAAGCACUUGCCUGGAAAGUGCAAGGGCCUGAGUUCAAUCCCAGGUUCCACAAAAAAAAAAAAAAUCAGAAUUAUAGGAAUAAAUAAUUACAAGGAAACUAAAAAAGUGUAAUAAUGUAUUCACUAAAAUCACAACAAUAAUUUUUCCAAAUUUAUGGAAGGAAUUCAAGUACAAGAAUACACAAAAAUCCAAUAGCCAUGACCAGAGAAGAUCCUUACCACAACACAUUAUGACCACAAUCCAAA